rnacentral:rRNA from 1 species
UACGUAGGGUGCGAGCGUUGUCCGGAAUUAUUGGGCGUAAAGAGCUUGUAGGCGGUUUGUCGCGUCUGCCGUGAAAAUUCGAGGCUCAACCUCGAACUUGCGGUGGGUACGGGCAGACUAGAGUGUGGUAGGGGAGGCUGGAAUUCCUGGUGUAGCGGUGAAAUGCGCAGAUAUCAGGAGGAACACCGAUGGCGAAGGCAGGUCUCUGGGCCAUUACUGACACUGAGAAGCGAAAGCAUGGGGAGCGAACAGG